UUCCCGGACCCGACCCAUUGCUGCACAGCAGCUAUAACUUGUUUAUUGUUUUCUUUGUUAUUAUUAUUAUUUUGGCAAAACUACAUCUACAUUACUUAUAAACUUAUUGUGUUUCAGGGCUGAGAGUUGUCCCCAUGCUUGACCAGCUGAGAAAAGGCCUGCAGCUUUAUGGUGUUCUGGAGGUUUUGAAGACACACCUGGACCUUUGUCUGCCACUGUUUGUACCAGGGGAAGAUGAUAGGGUGGAUGCAGCUUUCAUCCUGGAAAAGUGCCAGCCAGAUUUCAGUGAGAAGGGCUCUGUGAAGUACAGCAGAGAAGUAAACAUCAUGAACUUUCUCCAAGACUUCCUGCAAGAAACUGAGGAUUGUGAACAAGAUGGGCAGAGUGAUCAAGAAAGUGAGCUUCCACAGCACCUGACUGUGGGCAGGAUCAUGCAGUGGAUUACAGGACAAGCGCAUAAGCCCGUUCUGCCAAGCGAGAGGAAGGACUUCAUCAUAUCUGUGAAUUUCUACCAUGAUUGUGACGAAAGUCAUACCAUUUGUUUCCCAACUGUAAGUGCAUGUAGUCGCACAAUAACAUUUCCAAUUGCUCAUGUGACAACAUUCAGUGAAUUCAGAGACAUGAUGAAAACAGCUCUAUCCCACGGGCAAUCCUUUUUUAGAGUGUGAGCUCUUAGGCUUUUCUUGAUGGAGUUACAGUGCAGCUAAGACUUUCUGAUGUUUGUGUUUUACUGUUUACUUUUAAAAUGAAUGGCCUGUAAACAUCCAUGGUUCUAGCACUUAAGAAAUGCUUUCCAAAGCAAUCAACUUUUAAAUGUUGUUCAGCAGCUGGUUCUGUUAACAAAAGGUAACUGUUAUCAAAUCUCUUUAAUAAAUUU